rnacentral:rRNA from 1 species
UAAUACGUAGGUGGCAAGCGUUGUCCGGAUUUACUGGGCGUAAAGGAUGCGUAGGCGGAUUUUUAAGUGGGAUGUGAAAUUCCGAGGCUCAACCUCGGCGCUGCAUUCCAAACUGGAAGUCUAGAGUGCGGGAGAGGAAAGUGGAAUUCCUAGUGUAGCGGUGAAAUGCGUAGAGAUUAGGAAGAACACCAGUGGCGAAGGCGACUUUCUGGACCGUAACUGACGCUGAUGCAUGAAAGCGUGGGGAGCAAACAGG